rnacentral:tRNA from 1 species
GGUGGCUCACUGGUAGAGUGCUUGCUUUGCAUGCAUGAGACCCUGGGUUCAAUUCCUCAGUACCA